GAUGAACGCUGGCGGCGUGCCUAAUACAUGCAAGUCGAGCGAACAGACGAGGAGCUUGCUCCUCUGACGUUAGCGGCGGACGGGUGAGUAACACGUGGAUAACCUACCUAUAAGACUGGGAUAACUUCGGGAAACCGGAGCUAAUACCGGAUAAUAUAUUGAACCGCAUGGUUCAAUAGUGAAAGACGGUUUUGCUGUCACUUAUAGAUGGAUCCGCGCCGCAUUAGCUAGUUGGUAAGGUAACGGCUUACCAAGGCAACGAUGCGUAGCCGACCUGAGAGGGGGGUCGGGCACAAGGGAACUGUGACACGGUACAGACUCCGACGGGAGGCAGAAGUAGGGAAGCUUCCGCAAAGGGCGAAAGCCUGAAGGAGCAAGGCAGAGUGAGUGAUGAAGGUCUUCGGAUCGUAAGACUCUGUUGUCAGGGAAGAACAAAUGUGUAAGUAAAAACGCACGGCUUGACGGUACCGAAGCAGAACGGCACGGCUAACUACGGG
rnacentral:rRNA from 1 species